AUUGGCUGUGCGGUUGCUCUG
rnacentral:misc_RNA from 1 species